rnacentral:rRNA from 1 species
GAUGAACGCUGGCGGCGUGCCUAAUACAUGCAAGUCGAGCGAACGGACGAGAAGCUUGCUUCUCUGAUGUUAGCGGCGGACGGGUGAGUAACACGUGGAUAACCUACCUAUAAGACUGGGAUAACUUCGGGAAACCGGAGCUAAUACCGGAUGAUAUUUUGAACCGCAUGGUUCAAAAGUGAAAGACGGUCUUGCUGUCACUUAUAGAUGGAUCCGCGCUGCAUUAGCUAGUUGGUAAGGUAACGGCUUACCAAGGCAACGAUGCAUAGCCGACCGGAGAGGGUGAUCGGCCACACUGGAACUGAGACACGGUCCAGACUCCUACGGGAGGCAGCAGUAGGGAAUCUUCCGCAAUGGGCGAAAGCCUGACGGAGCAACGCCGCGUGAGUGAUGAAGGUCUUCGGAUCGUAAAACUCUGUUAUUAGGGAAGAACAUAUUUGUAAGUAACUGUGCACAUCUUGACGGUACCUAAUCAGAAAGCCACGGCUAACUACGUG